UACAGAGGGUGCAAGCGUUGUUCGGAAUCAUUGGGCGUAAAGAGCGUGUAGGCGGCUUGUUAAGUCUUGCGUGAAAUCUCGGGGCUCAACCCCGAGCGGUCGUGAGAAACUGGCAGGCUAGAGUGCGGGAGAGGAGAGUGGAAUUCCUGGUGUAGCGGUGAAAUGCGCAGAUAUCAGGAAGAACACCCGUGGCGAAGGCGGCUCUCUGGAACGCAACUGACGCUGAGACGCGAAAGCGUGGGGAGCAAACAGG
rnacentral:rRNA from 1 species